rnacentral:rRNA from 1 species
CCAACAGGGAUUGCCUCAGUAACGGCGAGUGAAGCGGCAACAGCUCAAAUUUGAAAUCUCCUUCGGGCGAGUUGUAAUUUGCAGAGGAUGCUUCGGGCGCGGCGCCUUCCAAGUCCCCUGGAACGGGGCGCCUUAGAGGGUGAGAGCCCCGUACGGUUGGACGCCAAGCCUGUGUGAAGCUCCUUCGACGAGUCGAGUAGUUUGGGAAUGCUGCUCAAAAUGGGAGGUAGACCCCUUCUAAAGCUAAAUACCGGCCAGAGACCGAUAGCGCACAAGUAGAGUGAUCGAAAGAUGAAAAGCACUUUGAAAAGAGGGUUAAAUAGCACGUGAAAUUGUUGAAAGGGAAGCGCUUGUGACCAGACUUGCGCCGGGGCGAUCAUCUAGCGUUCUCGCUGGUGCACUCGCCCCGGUUCAGGCCAGCGUCGAUUCGGAGGGGGGGACAAAGACGCCGGGAACGUGGCUCCUCGGAGUGUUAUAGCCCGGCGUGCAAUGCCCCCGUCUGGAUCGAGGUUCGCGCUCUGCAAGGACGCUGGCAUAAUGGUCAUCAGCGACCCGUCUUGAAACACGGACCAAGGAGUCGAGGUUCUGCGCGAGUGUUUGGGUGUCAAACCCGCACGCGUAAUGAAAGUGAACGUAGGUGAGAGCUUCGGCGCACCACCGACCGAUCCUGAUGUUCUCGGAUGGAUUUGAGUAAGAGCGUUGGGCCUCGGACCCGAAAGAUGGUGAACUAUGCUUGGAUAGGGUGAAGCCAGAGGAAACUCUGGUGGAGGCUCGCAGCGGUUCUGACGUGCAAAUCGAUCGUCAAAUCUGAGCAUGGGGGCGAAAGACUAAUCGAACCAU